GUAGGGAAUAUUGCGCAAUGGACGAAAGUCUGACGCAGCGACGCCGCGUGAGUGAUGAAGGCCUUAGGGUCGUAAAGCUCUGUUGAAUGGGAAGAAAAAAAUGACGGUACCAUUCGAGGAAGGACCGGCUAACUUCGUGCCAGCAGCCGCGGUAAUACGAGGGGUCCUAGCGUUGUUCGGAAUCAUUGGGCGUAAAGGGUGUGUAGGUGGCCAUGUAAGUCAGGUGUGAAAGCGCCGGGCUCAACCCGGGAAGUGCACUUGAUACUGCGUGGCUUGAGUACCGAAGAGGGUAGUGGAAUUCCAGGUGUAGUGGUGAAAUACGUAGAUAUCUGGAGGAACACCGGUGGCGAAGGCGGCUACCUGGUCGAGUACUGACACUGAGACACGAAAGCAUGGGGAUCAAACAGGAUUAGAUACCCGAGUAGUCC
rnacentral:rRNA from 1 species